GGGAAAAUUUCUCUUCAAAGGUUAAGUGGUGCCAAUCACAUUAAUUGUGAAGCCCAAUAACGAUCCUUCGAAGAAGUCACGAAUAAUGCAAGUGGAAUGCUCAAACAACGAAAGAAAAUAUGAGAGGUGUGCAAAUGAAGGCAAAAGUGCUCGUGUGCAAGUAAAGGGAUAAAAAAUGCAUAUGUGCAAAUGAGACAAAGUGUUCGUGUGCAAGUGAAGGGAUAAAAAGGUG
rnacentral:lncRNA from 1 species